GGAAUAUUGCACAAUGGGCGAAAGCCUGAUGCAGCAACGCCGCGUGAAGGAAGAAGGCCUUCGGGUCGUAAACUUCUGUCCUUGGGGAAGAAGAACUGACGGUACCCAAGGAGGAAGCACCGGCUAAAUACGUGCCAGCAGCCGCGGUAAUACGUAUGGUGCAAGCGUUAUCCGGAUUUACUGGGUGUAAAGGGAGCGCAGGCGGCACGGCAAGCCUGAUGUGAAAGCCCGCGGCCCAACCGCGGGACUGCAUUGGGAACUACCGGGCUGGAGUGCCGGAGAGGUAGGCGGAAUUCCUAGUGUAGCGGUGAAAUGCGUAGAUAUUAGGAGGAACACCAGUGGCGAAGGCGGCCUACUGGACGGUGACUGACGCUGAGGCUCGAAAGCGUGGGGAGCAAACAG
rnacentral:rRNA from 1 species